rnacentral:lncRNA from 1 species
UUUGUUUUUAAAUAGCUAUGGGAAAUUACGAUAUAUUUUAAUUAUGUUAUUAUGUGCCUUGUGUGGAAAUUUAAUAAUAUGUGCCAGUUCAGCUUGCCAACAGGUAAUAAUAUAUAUAAAUAUAUUUAAACUUACAAGUACGUGAUAUAUAUACAUAUGUGUUAAUGUAUUUAUAUAUUUAUAUAUUUAUUUUUUUAUGCUUUAUUUUUCCAGACACAAGUAGGUAUUGCUGCUAUACUCUCAGGUUUUUUCGGAUUAUUUUUACAAGAGAUAUAUUCAAAAUAUGAUCACAUAGUAGAUAAAUUUAAGCUAUUUAUAAAUUUAAUGUUUACCUUUUUUUCUAUGUACAUUAUUAUAUCAAUGUUUCCUUAUAAUGGAAAUUUCUUUGGUGAUAUUGGCGGGAUGCUUGGUGGUUUCAGCUAUCCGUACAUAUUCAAAGGCAAUAUAUUUACAAGGUAACAAAAAAAAAAAAAAAAAAGGUAACAAAAAAAAAGACACACAUAUAUGUACCCAUAGUCAUACAUGUUUGUACUUUUUAUAUAUCAAAUCAU